CAAACCCACGUACCCUCGACACAC
rnacentral:miRNA from 1 species